UAUAAGAAGAAAGAAUAAUAAUAAUAUGGAAGAGAGAGAAAGGGUAAGAGAUUCUUCUUCAUAUUUAUUUCUCUACUAGAGAAGCUACGUAUGGAGGCUUUUUUUUUUUUUUUUUUUU
rnacentral:ribozyme from 1 species